rnacentral:lncRNA from 1 species
UCUUGAUUUUAUGAAAGAAAAAGAUAUUUUCAUCAAAUUUUUUUUUUAAAAAAAAUUGAUCACUAUUAAAUAUCUAUUUUAUUAUUAAUUGUAUUACAUGAUUCAAUCAGCUGUCGUGCUCCACCUCAGAUUUUCUUCGCCGUCCUGGUGCACAAAAUAUUUCUUCUCUUUAUCUCUCUGUGCGUGCGUGCGUGCGUGCGUCCCUUUAUCAUUUUGUAGUAGAGAGCGCUUCUUUCGUAUUCCGUAAACGUAGGCCCA